rnacentral:misc_RNA from 1 species
GCAGGAGAAGGUGGUGGGGGUGUUGCCUCUGAUGGUUAAAAGGAAAGAGACAGAUAGAGAUUUUGAGAGGUGGAAGCAGAAGCAGGGUUGAAUCUUUGAGUCUUUGAACUAGAGGCAAUAACUAAAUGAGAUAGAUAGACAAGGUGAAAGAAAGGGAAGGAAGUGAGCGUGGUGUUUUCUUUAAGAAAGAGAGAGGGAGAGAGAGUGAGUGUUUGUGGGGGCUUUGUAUUGUGGGGUGCAAGGAGAUAUGCACAAAACCAAGCCAACAUCAAUACCCACUUAUUGUUUCUCUGCACUUUACCGUAUCCCAAAAGCUUUUUCUUGGAUUCUUGGUGGUCGAUAAGGGAAUAUAGUUUCAAGCUUAAGGUCAUCUUUGAACAUCUGUCUUCUUUAUCUGAAGGUAUAGGCUUGACGAUGGGGGUUUCGCAACAGAAUUUUCACGGUGCCAAGAAAUUGACUUUUCACUUUCAAGACCAGGAUUCUUCUUCAACUCAG